CUUCACCGAAGUUUCAACCUAAAAUCAGCCAUGGGAGAGCUUGUUAGUUGGCCAAACUUUGAAGACAAAUUGAUUGAGAAAAGUGAAAUACGAAUCUAGAUUGGAGAAAAGAUAAAGUAUCGGACCAGUCGAUCCGUUCCGUCGUUUUAGCAAUCGAGUGUUUGGGACGUUCGCUCGGGUUGGAAGUCGACGGAGAUUGCCUCACAUUAUCCAGCUAAUAAUUUCGGUAUUUAUAUACUUUGUGACUUGGUUAUAUGGCAUGUAUAGGCUAUUGUUAUUUUGGUUUACUAUGGAAAGUGUAUUUGGCCAUAUGGUUUGGCAUGUUUUAAGUAUGUAUUUGGUUAUUUUUGUAUAGGCUAGUUUUUAAUAUGUUUGGUUUUGAUGAUAUAUAUUUUUGGGAAACUGUGGUGCCUUUAUGAAAACGACAGUUUCACGAA